AACCGGAAGAGGAUAAAGUAAACUCAUAAACCAAAGAAUAAUCAAACAAGAACUUACUAGUAAUUAGAAGUCGAAUUACUGAAGAAUCUUAGAAGCAAGCCUCGGGUUAGGAGACUUGAUCCCGUAGGUAUAACUCGGAGUAGACACCGACAGGCCGUCCUUCCUCCGAUCCACACCUCCACUCUAUCUCUCUCAAUCUAGUAGAAACUAGAAGAUCUAUUUCUACUUUACAUUGGUUGCUAAGCCUAAAAAGAAAUAUUAUUUAGAGAAGAGGUUUUCCAUCGAGGGCACCCCUCAAUCUCUAUGAUAAUUCCUUGUCUUCUCUAGGGGCCAGAGGGGGUCUCCUUAUAUAGUCCUCCCCUUCUAUGCGUUUUUGGGUCGAUAGGCGAGGUGGUACUAUGUUAUUCUAGAUCCAAUAGGUCGGUGGAACAUCGUGUACGAAGAGAGUCCGGAACAGAGUCCAGAGGGGGGCGGGCACCCAGGUCCUCAGGGCGGGCGCCCUGGGCCUGGCCCCUUUCGGGCUCCGCUUCCUUCCCGUGGCUUCUGGAGUCUUCUAGAUGAUAGAAAAUUGCGCGGUGGGUUGAUAUCUCUAUGUAAUCCCGACAUGUGGGCCUUUCUUCCUUAUUUCCUGAUAACCCCCUGCAGAAAUAGACAAACACCAAAACUCGUAGAAUUCUGUCAGAUAAAACCCUAAGUCUAGAUGUUGAUUUCAUUUGGAUCCUUUUCUUUAUUUAUUUGAUAAUUAAAUUUGAUACUUAAGGACCGUCAACAAACUCCCCAAAGCUUACCUCUUGCUCGUCCCUGAGCAAGGAUAGACUUAGCUAUGGAUCAUAAAUUGUUGCAAUAUUUUUAAAAAUUGAUGUACACAUGCUUUUUAAAUAAGAUCUCAUCUCUGAGUUAGAGUAAACUGUCAAGACUUAAAACUUACUUACUUUACCUUUACCAUGGGACUUGUAACUGUCACUUCUGUCUUGAGUGGUUAAAAGAUAGAACAGUCUAGCCAAGUGCCAUGUCUCUUAUUCUUGAUCAGCUAUAGCUUAAGAGUUUUUGCAGAUUUUCAAAUAAAACUCAGAGAUUCCUUGUAUGAUUCUCUCAGAUCUCUCUUUUGUGGUAUUUUUGGAUCCUUACCAAGGCAUUGAUGGUAUAUGCCUUCUCUCAAGAUAUGUGGUAUUUGUGGUAUAAGGCAUUGCCUUCUCUCUCACCCUACUAUAAUAAGGCUUUAAUAUCUGGAGCUCAUAGGUGGGAGAUAAAGUAUACAUACUUACAAGACAUUUAUUGCAUAGUCAAACCAUGGAUCCAAAGAAACAAAUCAAUAAGCCAAAUCAAGAUGUGCAUGUGUGGCGAAUGAAUGGUGUAUGGUGAUGAUGGUGAUAACAAUGGUGGUGGAAGUCUAAUUCUACUUUGCUCUUUGAGGGGAUACAUACCUUCCUUGCUUUUGAAACUUUAUGAGGAGAAUGAGAUGCUCUUCUUUUUUUUCUCUCAGGUGGGUAUCUUGCACCCCUAAUUCUACUGUCGGACACUUGUCCAUUUUUAUCUCUCGUCUCACUUUUUUCUUUUUCUUCGAGGUUCCGGGCACUUGCCCCUUUUUAUUUCCUCGUAUUUAUUAUUAUUUUUUCUUUCUUUUUUUUCUCUUUUUUUAGAGCAUUCAUCUCUUGAGAUAAUAUAGCAAGUGGUAGUAACAAGAUAACUUGAGCAUUUAUUUCACAAGGGGAAACAGAAAUAUUUUUGGUUAUUCUCUCCCGGAUUAGGAGUAGAAUACUUGUGGGUGGUUUUGGAGAUGGAAAUGAGUGGAUAUAUGUGGAUGGUACUUCCGGAGUAGAAGUAGCAUGUAUGAGUGAACGUGCAAGUGAAAUCUUGAUUUAACCACAUGACAAGUUCCUAAGGGUCUACACAGCUUGACUACACUCAAUGCUCAUAAGCAGUAAAUAGUAAAUGUGUGGCUCAAAGUCUAGCAAGCAUGUAUAUAUGGCUGUGGUAGGAAUUUAAACUCUCAUCAUACAGGAACUCAUCAUGUAACAUUUUAAAGAUUUUCAAAGAUAAAAUUCUCCAGAAUUCUAGCAUCUCUAGGAACAGAUAAACAACAGCUCAACCUUCCCAUAUCGUAUCCGUUAACAACUUAGACUUCAGAUCAAGUUUUCAUCCCACAAGUUUAGGUCUAGAGCAAGCCUUAAAUUAUAACAGUUAUAUCUAAACUUGAGAGAGAACUUCAAAUUUGCAAAUUAGGCAGAGCAACUAUUCAUCAUAUCCAUGCUUAAGUUUUAUUAGAUACAGAUUAGCAUAGCCACUUUAUUUAUUUAUUAAACACACUAAGCAAAAUAUAUAUAAGUAUAAAAUCUUUAUUUGGUUUUUCAUAGUUAUGUGUAUUUAUAUUCUAAUAUAGUAUAAGUAUAAAGAUAGAUAGAAAUACUUAUCGAGAUAAAUGGGGGUGCUUUCCCCCAAGCUGAAUUUUGACGUAAUUUCUCUUGAUGUAGCUAGCAGGUGGCAGAGGUGUGUUUGAAAGUCAGGAGUAUUUUGACAGCGAUUAGAAUGUCCUCUGUCUGCUAGUCUUCUUGAUUCUUAAAUUCUGUGGAGCUCAAAUAGACAACAAAGCUUGUGGAACUGAUUAAGUGUUAGCAUAAAUAUUUAGCCUUUAUCAUCUUGAGACUCCUUAAUAAUUAUUACUCCCUGUUUUUUAUAUUUUCAUUUUAUAAAGCAGAAAAAUAUUUAUUUUAUUUUUAUGCCACCACAGUGAAUGUACUUAUGGGUUUUAUGCCACUCGUAUACUCACAUGGGGCUUACUGUUUUUCACAUUUUUAUUUUCUUUUAUUUUUAAGAUAGUAUGAAUAUGAUUAACUAAGUAAACUAUCUAAAAUAAUUGAAAGGGAAAUGAUAACUACCAAGUUUACCUCUUGGCAAGGCGUUCGGUAUUUUUAAGUCCUCCGAACGGGACUCUCCGUUUUCGUAGUCGUCCUGGGAUUUGCUGGGUGGCGUAGUCGGUGGUUCCGGCGGCGCCUCCUCUUCGUGUAUAACUAUCUUCUCUUUCCAUACCUGACUCGGUGCUACGGUCUCCUCAGGACAGUUCUGUUCAAGUUGUAUGUCUUCAGUCCUUAUCACUUCUCCUUCGUAGUCUACCCAUCCGUCCUUGAUGAUUUGCCUCCUCUGGUUGCGGUUGCGUUGUCUUCUUCUUGUCCUGACCUGCUUAGAAUCUUCAACUAUAUAGUUAGAAUCAUUAAAGUAGUGGCGUACCUUCUCAGAGGAGAAGUGCAUGUGGACUUCUCUGGUUCCAGUAUAGAUAAUGACUUUGAUAGUGCUGAGGAACGGUCUUCCAAGGAUGGUGGAUGGAUCAUACUUGUCUUCUCCCAUGUCAAUGACCUGAAAAUUUUCUGGGGCUGAAUGUAUGCUGGUUGUAGGAGCAUGGUUCCAUGCAGGAGCUGAUAAGUGACUGCGGCCAUUAUGUUGACAUCAGAUCCGGUGUCGUAGAGUGUCUUCUAAAAAGAGUAUCCAUUGAUUGUGCACUCAAUGUUUGGAACACCAGGGUCGUCCUUCUUGAUCAAGAAAGGUGACUUGAGUCGACGAUCUUGACCUCUUUGAACUGCAGUGACCAUCUUAGCUGACUCAGUCCACAUUUGCUUGUUCCUGUUCCUCCUGUUGGUCCUCUUCCUUGGUUUACGUCUGGAUUGAUCUUGAAUUUGUGUAGUCUUGUUCUUGAAGAAAUGUCUCCUUCUUCCCUUUGACGUAGAAACUGAUCUUGGCAGUACUAGCGUAGAUGAUAGCUCUUGUGUUUAGGAAUGACCUCCCUAAGAUGAUGGGUGCCCUCUCCUCAGUACCAAUCUCUAUUACCACGAAGUUUGCUGGAGCGUACAAGGUACCAACUCGGAUACAGAGGUUCUUCAAUAUUUCCUUUGGGAAACUAAGUGUCUGAUCUCCAUUGUGUUUGUGCUCGUAGAUCCCGGUUCUUCACUUGAUGGAAUCUGGGAGUUGUAAAACUCCUCCAUGUUUUGCUUGAAGUGUACCUAUUCAUAAAGACAAGGCAGAGAUCAAGUGCAUGGGCCCUGUUGGUGGAAAACACCAACAGAACCAAAAGUGUAUUUGUUCUUCUCCAACCUUAAGCAUAGUGAGCAAGACAAAGUUGUUGGAUCGUAGCAUUUAAAACAUGUGUUAGAUCAGAUGGCUCAACCUAAUGGAAAGAUAAUCUAUCUAUAUUUAUGUUUUGUUUAUAUCUUCCAAAGAUUGAAUGUGCAACAUAUUAGCUUAUAUGAUUGAGGACUAAGAACAAAGAUUAAAGGACUAAACAUGCUGAAUCAGUUAGGUUAAUUUAGAGUUAUAAAUCAUACAUGUUUGUCUCUUUAUUUAUGUGAAUGCCAGAACCAAGGCGAAGCUUAUAAAAGCGAUAGUCAAGUACUUUAAGAUGUUAUUGAAGAGUGAUGGUAUAGUAUCACCUUGUGGAAGCUUUCCUUUCUUAGUGGUUGUGCAUCGUGUUUGUGGCACCCUCCAUGAAUCAUCUCUUAUGAGCUACGUCUUUCUUGUGCAGAUUGUUAAACUUCAUGUGUCACUUUCUUCAUCUCAAAUGCGACUUUAUCUCAGGACUUCCCUGGUUGAUAUUGAAAGUUCUCCUGCAGGGGUUAGUCCCACAAAAUAUACCAAUAUCUACUCAAGCAGUUUUUAGUUCAGUAACCAAACUAGACUCCAUGUCUAAUCACAUUAAGGAAGGCUGUUUAACCUAAGCACCAUGCUUAAUUUAAAAGCCAAUGGAAGUAUGUCGAGUACUUCCAAACCUACACUUACUAGGAUAAACAAAGGUAGCAUGAUGGCAUUUAUAGAGAUCUACUCAAGUGGAGAUGAAGUAGUGUGAUUAGUAUUUAACAAAUUGAGCAUGUCUCAAAGGUAAGGACAACCAACAUAGCAACAUGGCAAAGGAUGUUUUUAUGUAAAGUACUCCCCCAAGCUUGAAUUUUACAAAAUUCAAGUUUGGAUGAAUUUAAUUCAAUGUUGUGUGAUGGUUGGUUGGACAUACCUUGUACUUGUCAUUCAUCCGAUCUUCUUGCUCCAAUCCUGGAAAGGUUAGUGACAAGAAUACCCGAAGGAAUAUUUCUACAAUUAUCUUUAUAUGCUCAAUACACAAGGCAAUGUUGCAAAUAAUUAGAAGUGCUUGUUUUAGGACACUAAGCUUGUCCUUGGGAAACCAUCAAUUAACUCAACGAGAUCUGCAAUAUUUAUUAUAGACAUAUGCAUCGACAACCGCUCUUUUAAAGUUUUUAUAAAUAAAAAAGAAGAGAGGGUUGGAGAUCUCAAAUGUGAUAAGGAUGGAGAGACUAAUUGAUUGGAGAGAUGUUUUAUAUGAGCAAGGACUGGGUAAGGUAUUUAAGAAAUAACUUCCAUACCCACUGUUGUUACUCUCAUUAUCAAACUCCAAGGAUGAUUCUUCGUGAAUGCUUAAAAUUCCUCUAGGAUUGUCUCUCAAGUUUGUUUUAUCUAUCCAUUCAAUGGUGAUAGCACAUGGAUUUUUAAUGCCCUCUAGCCAUCGAUGUUGCUCUUCUCGAUCCUCCUUCUUAUGCAUGGGAUGUCUAGAGAGAUUCAUAGGAUUAUCGGGAGGUUCAAGAGAAAGAGCAUAGUAGAAUUUAUUAAACUCUAGGAUGGGUUGGAUAGCCGAAUUAUGGGAUUGAAAUGUUUGAAAAUCGGUUAUUGAAACUUCCUCUCCUCGUCUGGGAGAUGAUUCCUUCUCUAUUUCUAAGAUUUUUCUAUGAAGACUAGUACAAGAAGGAUGUCCACAAAUGAAGACAUACCUUCCUUUACUAAUAGAUAAAGAACGAAGGACUCUACCAAAGGUUAUAUGAUUAAGACCAAUAUGAAAAUAUCGAGAAAAAACAUGGUCUUGUAGGGCUAGGUCUAAACCAGAGUUUAUAGUAAGAUUAACAUAUUCCCUAGGUGUAGCUAAAAGUGCAUUAUCUUUUUGAUUAAAAGAUAGGACCUCGGCUAUAGAAAAGGGUUGGUUUUGACCUAUUGCAAUCAACUCCGGACACAGAUCAUAAUUAGGGGCAGGACGUGUUGACUCCCAUGGUCUAUGGCUGGUCUCCGAAGGUGCAAAGAAUUCAAUAAUAGGUAUGGAAUUUAAGUUAUCCAUAAAAAUAAAAAGAUAAAAAAGUAUAAAAGUAUAAUACAAGAUAAUAGCAAGACUCAAAGUUAUCUCAGCAAACCGUCUUUCUCCCCGGCAACGGCGCCAGAAAUGCUUGUUGAUAUUUGGUAACGCAAUUAGAAAAUGAUCCGCAAGCGCACGGAUAUCGGUGAGCAUUUCACCCGGGAGGAUUUCCAGAGUAUCGUAUUUAUAUUUUUACCACUGGGAGAAAGGGUGCAUCUGACUAACCAAAUCUAUUGCUACUAUCCCUUUAGGCUACAAAGAAUGUCUCUCGAUGUGAGUGAUGUAUAGAGAUGACUGCAACCGUAGUCUCGUUCUAACCUUGGUAAGGAUGAUCUACUGUUUUAUUGGAGAGGCUCACGGAAUCUAGACAACUCAAAGGAUGUUCGACCCGCACCUAUAAACCUACCCGUCCUGCUAACGAGAUGUGAUCUGCAAAGGUAACUCGGAAUUGCCAUGUUCCUCGCUACUACCACGGUCCAGCUAGUCAGGGGAUAUCUAUGAGUACCCUAGCCUAAACACCACGUUUACGCUAACAAGUGAUUACUCUAAUACUCAACCGUAAGAGGAUUAAAGUAAACUCAUAAACCAAAGAACAAUAAAACAAGAACUUACUAGUAAUUAGAAGUCGAAUUACUGAAGAAUCUUAGAAGCAAGCCUCGGGUUAGGAGACUUGAUCCCGUAGGUAUAAAUCGGAGUAGACACCGAUAGGCCGGCCUUCCUCCGAUCCACACCUCCACUCUAUCUCUCUCAAUCUAGUAGAAACUAGAAGAUCUAUUUCUACUUUACAUUGGUUGCUAAGCCUAAAAAGAAAUAUUAUUUAGAGAAGAGGUUUUCCUUCGAGGGCACCCCUCAAUCUCUAUGAUAAUUCCUUGUCUUCUCCAGGGGCCAGAGGGGGUCUCCUUAUAUAGUCCUCCCCUUCUAUGCGUUUUUGGGUCGAUAGGCGAGGUGGUACUAUGUUAUUCUGGAUCCAAUAGGUCGGUGGAAUGUCGUGUACGAAGAGAGUCCGGAACAGAGUCCAGAGGGGGGCGGGCGCCCAGGUCCUCAGGGCGGGCGCCCUGGGCCUAGCCCCUUUCGGGCUCCGCUUCCUUCCCGUGGCUUCUGGAGUCUUCUAGAUGAUAGGAAAUUGCGCGGUGGGUUGAUAUCUCUAUGUAAUCCCGACAUGUGGGCCUUUCUUCCUUAUUUCCUGAUAACCCCCUGCAGAAAUAGACAAACACCAAAACUCGUAGAAUUCUGUCAGAUAAAACCCUAAGUCUAGAUGUUGAUUUCAUUUGGAUCCUUUUCUUUAUUUAUUUGAUAAUUAAAUUUGAUACUUAAGGACCGUCAACAAGUACUAGGCUUGGAGUCAACCAGUCAAUGCUGUCCCUGUGUGGAGCUUCCGUCGAGAGCGUUGUUUACUUUAUGUUAUCAUCUUUGUAAGAGACUAUGUGAUAUUUUAUAUUCCGCUAUGUAAUAAACACUACAAUGGUACAUUUGAGAUUUGUCUACUUAUGUGUGCGACUGUUUUUUGGGGCACAUAUGAGUCUUUUAUGCAUCCUAUUUUGUUCUUAAAAUAUGGGUGUGACAAGAAAUCAAGGAUUAGAUAAGAAGAAAGAAUAGCAGAGAUAAGGCAAAAGAUAAAAGGAAAAGUAUAUAUAUAUUUUUUUAUUUUUUAGAAAAUGAUUGAGCUAGUUCGUAGUCAACUCAGCAACCGUCUCCCCAGCAACGGCGCCAAAAAUGCUUGUUGACACUUGCUAACACCACUUGAAUACUAGGUUGUUAUCCCCAACAUGACACUAGAGUGUACUAUGGUAUUUAUACGCACACAGAUAAAUCCGCAAGUGCACGGAUACCGUUGUAGCUUUUACCCAGUUAAAGGUUUCAUCGUAUCCACAGGGAAACAGGAGAACCAACUACGCUCUAACUUAACCAAGAUAGAUAGAUGAGUGUAAAUAGGAAAGAUGGUAGAAUUGAAUAAGAACAAUAUUAAAGGUAAGAUAACAAUGGGUGAUAAUAUGGGAAUAGAGAGUAGAGCAAUCUAAUAUAUGGGCGAUGGUAGCAGAAUAGAGAGGAUAACUAUGGUUUCUCUACUUUAAAGGGGUAUGUCUAUGUCUAGGACGAACCACGUGAUAAGAAUACACCACAAAGGAUGCUUCUCCAUAGGCCGAUAAACCCUACCCGUCGUACUAACAAGAGGUGGACUACAGGGGACCAACGUAACUAUCACCUACGCGGCCUACCACACGAUCCAGCUAGACAGUGGAUAUUCACAAGUACUCUAGGUCUAAGCACCACGCUUACACCUAUACUACAACUCUAACCUAUAGGGUCCUAUAGAUUAGAAGUACUCAAAAGAGUUGUGAACCAGAACAUACAUGAUUAGUAAUUGCAUAAUGAAUUAGAAGUAGAUUACUAGAGUCAUCCCAUGAGCAAGCUUGAUUAGAGCUUGAUCAUGGUGAAGUACAACCGGAGGAAGAAUCGACAGGCCGGCCUCUCCUCCAAUCCUCCCUCGCUCUCCAUCUCGCUACUAUCUAGAUCUACUCUAGUUUAGAGAAGAGAGGAGAGCUCUCAUCUCUAAACCCUAGCUUUUGCUCUGUCUAUGAAUAAUGAAUAUGGAUCAAGGGGUUGCCUCCUCUUGGGGCCAGGGGGUCUGCUUAUAUAGGCCCCUCAAGUGAAUCUGGGCCGUCGGAUCAAACCGACAUUGAUUGAAUGGUUAUUCUUGAUCCUUUAGGUCGGUGGAGCGUAAUCCCCGAAGAGAGUCCUGAUUGGACUCUGGGACAGGGCGGGCGCCCAUGGGGGGAGGGCGGGCGCCCUGCCCCCGAGCCCGCUUGGCCUCCCGUUUGUUCCCGUGGCUUCUGGAGUCUUCUAGAUGAUAGAAAAUUGCGUGGCACGUUCAUAUCUCUAUGUAAACCCGACAUGUGGGCCUUUCCUCCAUAUUUCCUGAUAACCCCCUGCAGAAAUAGACAAACACCAAAACUCAUGGAAUUCUGUCAGAUAAAACCCUAAGUUUAGGUGUUGGCUGUAUUUGGAUCCUUUUCUUUGUUUAUUUGCAUUGAGAGUUGCAUCUAGUGGCACUUGAUCCUUGAGUUUGUUGUGGAUUUCUUGUUACUCUUGGGUGUUUCUCGACACCCUACAUGGCUUGGAGCAGUGGAGGUGUUGAGCUUGUGACUGGAGAUUGUUUCGAGCCUCACGAAGUGAUUUGUGAGGGGUUCUUGAGCCUUUUUUGCUGGAGAUCACAAUUGGAAACUUGUUAACUUACAAAAUUUGUUAGCAUUUAUUUCUCAACCAGAUAUCAAUAUAUACUAGAAUAGGGUUAUCACUGACAAUUUCCAUGAGUUUUUCAUAUUUUGUGUUUUCUAGGGAUAAUUUCAAAAAGAGCUGAAAAGAGGGAUUUAAGUGCUAAUUGGCCACGAAACGUAUCCGUGAUGGAAGGAUGACACCAGAGGAAUCAGGAACACCCUAGAAGACACCCGACGCAACGGGGGAGCCAGUAGCCGCGAGGUGGGGUCGGCCGGCCACACCCUAGCGCCGGCCGGCCCCCUAUGGUUAGGGUUUGCUCCCCCCUUCCCGAAGCUUCCUCCACCGCCUUUGAGGAGCCAUCUCGUCUGAUUGUUAAAUCGGUUUGAUCCAACGGCAUGUGUCCAUCUCAAUAGGCUAUAAAUAGAAGGCUAGACCCCCCUGGAGGAGGCCACUGUUGACGGUCCUUAAGUAUCAAAUUUAAUUAUCAAAUAAACAAAGAAAAGGAUCCAAAUGAAAUCAACAUCUAGACUUAGGGUUUUAUCUGACAGAAUUCCACGAGUUUUGGUGUUUGUCUAUUUCUGCAGGGGGUUAUCAGGAAAUAAGGAAGAAAGGUCCACAUGUUAGGAUUACAUAGAGAUAUCAACGCACCGCGCAAUUUUCUACCAUCUAGAAGACUCCAGAAGCCACGAGACCGAAGCGGAGGCGAAACGGGGCCAGGCCCAGGGCGCCCGCCCUGGUGACCUGGGCGCCCGCCCCCUGUUGGAACCAGAUCAGGACUCUCUUCGCUCGGGAUGUUCCACCGACCUAUUGGGUCAAGGAAAACAUAGUACCACCUCGCCUAUCGACCCAAAAACGCAUAGAAGGGGAGGACUAUAUAAGGAGACCCCCAUGGCCCCUGGAGAAGACAUGAAGAAAUUAUCAUAGAGAUUGAGGGGUGCCCUCGAAGGAAAACCUCUUCUCUAAUUAAUAUUUCUUUUUAGAUUGAGAGAGAUAGAGUGGAGGUGAAGACUGGAGGAAGCCCGGCCUGUCGGUGUCUACUCCAAGCUUGUACCUGCGGGAUCAAGUUCUCCUAACCCGAAGCUUGCUCCUAGGAUUCUUCAGUAUUUCGACUUCUAAAUUCUAGUAAGUUCUUGUUUUAUUGUUCUUAUGGUUUAUGAGUUUACUUUAAUCUCUUCGCGUAGAGUUUAGAGUAAUCAUUGCUGGCGUAAACGUGGUGUUUAUGCUGGGGUACUCAUAGAUAUUCCCUGACUAGCUGGACCGUGGUAGUAGUGAGGAACGUGACAAUUCCGAGUUACCUUUGCAGAUCACAUCUCGUUAGCAGGAAGGAUAGGGUUUAUAGGUACGGGUUGAACAUCCUUUGUGGUGUCUAGAUUCCGUUAGCCUCCCCAUUAGAACAGUAGAUCAUCCUUACCAAGGUUAGAAGGAGACUACGGUUGCAGUCUUCUCUAUUUAUCACUCACAUCGAGAGACAUUCUUUGUAGCCUAAAGGGAUAGUAGCAAUAGAUUUGGUUAGUCAGAUGCACCCUUUCUCCCAGUGGUAAAAAUAUAAAUACGAUAACUUUGGAUAAUCUCCCGGGUGAAAUGCUCACCGAUAUCCGUGCGCUUGCGGAUCAUUUCCUUAUUGCGUUACCAAAUAUCAACAGCCACAUUAAGAGAUGAAGAGUCAGAGCAUUAGAUACACAUCCACUAGAUCUAGGCUAGCAAUCAAGAUAGAGAUUAGAGAGAUAGAGUAGAGAAGUAGCGAUUCAGAGGAGUCCCGGCCUGUCGGAGCUUCCUUAGGAGCUGUAUUCGUUUAGAUUUGGCUCCCUCGCCCGGAGCUACGUUCUGAGGUACUUCUGUAUUUACCCUUUCUGAUUCAAGUAUGCAACUUGUUUGUAUUCGUUCUUUGGUUUGCAACUCAUAUUAUAUUGAGUACUACAAUUUGGGUAGCUCCUAGGUCGGAGUAGUGAUUCGUAGCGUAGACGUGGUGUCUAGGCUAUGGUUGCUUGUGAAUGUCUCCUGAUCAGCCGGAGAGUGGUAGUUCGCGUAGGUAACUUUAUAGCUGCGUUGAUUCCUCUGUGUUGGGUAUUUUAAACGCAAACAGAAAAAAUCCGCAAGCGAACAGAUACCGAUGUAGCCUUCACCCAGGAGUAUUUCAGAGUAUCGAUUUUCCACAGGGAACGUGAGUGUACUAAUCAAGAAUCAAGAUCGCCCAAGGAUAACUAUAUAAUUAUUUUUGGUGGGAAGAGAGGAAGUUUCCUGAGAGUUGUCUAGUUGAUCUAAGAAUCAAAAAUUACUUCAAGAUUAUCUAUAUCGGGACAUCAGAGCACUAACCAGAGAAAGAGAUGAGAAGGGGGCUAGGAAGGUCUGACUACGGUCCUACAAACACCGAUCCGAGGUGGAAUACGUCGACCGUUAGGGCUGUCACUACCCUAAGGCUACCACAACAAUCCGCAGGAUUGGGUGCAAUUCUAGGUAAUUGCAAGACUAAACACCACGUCUAAUCUAUUAAUUACUACUCUAGCGUUAUAAAGACUAGAGCACUUGAUGCAAGUGGGAAUCCAAUAAAUAACUUGAAUGUAAAUAAAAGUAAUUAAAGAACUCAGGAAUUAUGAAUUGAAGAACCUGGAGAACGAUGAAGAACGAACCAGUUGCUGCAAAAGUAUAAUGUUGAGGAAGAUCCGACAGAUCCGGCUCCUCCUCCGCUCUCCUCUUCGCUCUCCCUAUUUUCUAGAUUACAACUAGAACUAACUAGAACUAGAACUAGUGGAACUAGAACUAGAACUAGAUGAACUAGAAUUAGAUCUAGAUGAACUAGAGGUAGAACUAAAAGAACUAGAGGGAUCCUCUCUACUUGGAUGAAGAAUUGAAACCCUAACUUUGAUUCUGUAGAAGAGGUAUGAUCUCCAGGGGCUAGGGAGGUCUGGUUUUAUAGUCCCUUCCAGUGAAUCUGGGCCGUCGGAUCAAACCGACAUUGAUCGCAUGAUUUUCCUUGAUCCUUUAGGUCGGUGGAGCAUAAUCCGCGAAACGUGUCCUGAUUGGGCACUGUAGCUGGGCGGGCGCCGAGGGGAGUUGGGCGGGCGCCCAGCCUCCGAGCCCGAUUUCCUUCCCGUUCGUUCCCGUGGCUUCUGGAGUCUUCUAGAUGAUAGAAAAUUGCGUGACAUGUUAAUAUCUCUAUGUAAACCCGACGUGUGGGCCUUUCUUCCGUAUUUCCUGAUAACCCCCUGCAGAAAUAGACAAACACCAAAACUCAUGGAAUUCUGUCAGAUAAAACCCUAAGUCUAGGUGUUGGUUCCAUUUGGAUCCUUUUCUAUGAUUAGUUGAUGGUUAAUUGUGAGCAUUAAGGACCGUCAACAAGCUCCCCCAAGCUUAACCUUUGAUCGUCCCUGAGCAAAGAUGAACUCAAGAGUUUCUGCAGUGGUUUCAUAACUUAAAGAUACACAUGCGUUUAAACAGGAUCUCAUCUCUGGUUAGAGUAAACUGUUAAGACUUAAAACUUACUCAUUUACCUUUCACCAUGGGACUUGUAACCGUCACUUCUGUCUUGAGUAGUUAAAAGAUAGAACAGUCUAGUCAAGCACCAUGUCUCUUGUUCUUCGAUUAACUAUAGCUCUGGAGUUUUUACAGAUUUUCAAAUAAAACUCAGAGAUUCCUUGUAUGACUCUCUAGUCUCUCUUUUGUGGUAUUUCUGGAUCCUUACCAAGGCAGUAAUGGUGUAUGCCUUCUCUCAAAGUAUGUGGUAUUUUUGGUAUGAGGCAUAGUGGUAUUGCCUUCUCUCUCACCCUACUCUAAUAAGGUUUUGAUAUCUGGAGCUCAUAGGUAGGAGACAACUAAUACAUACUUACAAAACAUUUAUUGCAUAGUCAAACCAUGGAUCCAGAAGAACAAGUCAAUAAGUCAAAUCAAGAUGUGCAUGUGUGGUGAAUGAAUGGUGUAUGGUGAUGAUGGUGAUAACAAUGGUGAAAGUCUAAUUAUACUUAUGCUCUUUUGAGGGGAUACAUACCUUUCUUGCUCUUUUGAAACUUUUUGAGGAGAAUGAGAUGCUCUAUGUUUUAUUUUUCUUGCACGUGGGUAUCUUGUACCCCUAAUUCUACUGUCGGACACUUGUCCAUUUUUACCUCUCGUCUCACUUUUUCUUUCUUUCGAGGUUCCGGGCACUUGCCCCUUUUUAUUUCCUCAUAUACUUUUUUUUCUUUUCUUUUUUUUCUUUUUUUAGAGCACUCAUCUCAUGAGAUAAUAUAGCAAGUGGUAGUAACAAGAUAACUUGAGCAUUUAUUUCACAAGGGAAAACAGAAAUGUUUUUGGCUAUUCUCUCCCUAAUUAGGAGUAGAAUAUUUUUAGGUGAUUCUGGAGAUGGAAAUGGCUGGAUAUAUGUGGAUGCGUACUUCCAGAGUAGAAGCAGCAUGUGUGAGUGAACGUGCAAGUGAAUCUUGACUUAACCACAUGACAAGCUCCUAAGGGUCUACACAGCUUGACCACACUCAAUGCUCAUAAGCAGUAAAAAGUAAAUGUAUGGUUCAUAGUCUAACAAGCAUGUAUAUAUGGCUGUGGUAGGAAUUUAAACUCUCAUCAUACAGGAACUCAUCAUGCAUUUUAAAGAUUUUCAAAGAUAAAAUUCUCCAGAAUUCUAGCAUCUCUAGGAACAGAUAAAUGUUGGGUAUUCUUAACAUCAUUACUAAAAGUAGACUAAGUUCUAAAUCUAGCAACGGUGCCAAAAAUGCCAAACCUAUCCCUCACACCACUUAAGCCAAGUUGUCAUCCCCAGCAUGAUAUGAGAGACGCGGUAUUGAAAUAUGCAAUUGCUCUUCUAAAUAAAUAAUGAAUGGGAUCUGCAAGCGCACAGAUUAAUACCGAUGUAGCAUUUUAACCGGGAAGUAUUCCAGGUAUCGUUAUUUAUAUUUUUACCACUGGGAAGGGAUUAGCAAUCAUCACUAUUGAUUACAGAAUAGAAUAUGAGAUUGAGCAUCUAUCAUUGCAUGUAUAAUUGAGAACAUUAUAUCUAACUCAUCAUACAGGGAUAAAUGUCACAUAAAAGAUAUAUGAAAUAAUAAUAGUGACAAGGAUAACUAAUCUGAUCUAGCCACAUAAUAAAUAUGAUAAGCACCUCAAUUAGAUACUCUAGAAAGUCAUUAGCAUGGUAUUAGAACGAACUACAAGAAUAUUCCCUAAGUUAUUCUCAACUAUAUAGUCUAGCAUUAUCAUAGUUAGAGCAAGCAUACUUAGCAAUCAUUGUGAGACAAGACUACGCCCAUGCAUAGUGAUAUUAGCAAGGAAUAUGAGAAACAUAGCAAUCACUCCCCUGUAAUAAUGUUGCUCUGCCAGCCCAAUACACGAGAGGGGGACUAUAUAAGAAUCAAUGAAGCUGUCACUAUCACGAACCACCCCACGAUCUGGCAUAUUGGGUACAAUCGCAGAUAAAUACGGUAUAAGCACCACGCCUACACAAUAUCUAUCAGUUACCCAUGGAUCCGAUGGAUAAACGCUAUACGAUCCUAAGCAUGUAUAUAGAUCGUAUCUAACUAAGCCAAGUACAUAACUAUGAUAAACUAAGAACAAUAUAAUCUUGAAUAUAAGCAAGUAGAGCAAAGUCAUAAGCAAUAUAUUGAAGUAGAACAAAGUCAUAUUCAUAAUAUUGAAGAACAAAGAUAAUUAGAAAGCAAUUAGAAGCACAAUUAGAAGAUUACCAAGAAUCCUCCUGACAGAUCCGGAAACCAAUCGAAGAUUGACUCCUUCUAGUUCUAAUCCUAUGUAGCUAUGCUAAUCUAGAUGUCUAAUUGAUGUGGUGGCUCUAAUCUUGAUCAGAGGCUUCUUCUCCCUUGAUGGAACAAUGAAUUAGGGUUGAGAGGCUCUCUCCUCCAGGGGCCAGGGGGUCUGGUUUUAUAGUCCCUCCAAGUGAAUAUGGGCCCUUGGAUCAAACCGACAUAGAUUGUAUGGUUUAGAUUCAUCCUUUAGGUCGGUGGAGAUCUCCCGCAAAGCAGAGUCCUGAUUGGACUCAGGAGGUGGGCGGGCGCCCUGACCAACUGGGCGGCCGCCCAGGGUCUGGCCCCGUUUCGCCUCCGCUUCGGUCCCGUGGCUUCUGGAGUCUUCUAGAUGUAAGAUAAUUGCGCAGCACAUUAAUACCUUUACGUAAUCCUGACAUGUGGGUCUUUCUUCCGUAUUUCCUGAUAACCCCCUACAGAAAUAGACAAACACCAAAACUCGUGGAAUUCUGUCAGAUAAAACCCUAAGUCUAGAUCUUGAUUUCAUUUGGAUCCUUUUCUUUAUUUAUUUAAUAAUUAAAUUUGAUACUUAAGGACCGUCAACAAACUCCCCCAAGCUUACCUCUUGCUUGUCCCUGAGCAAGGAUAGACUCAGCUAUGGAUCAGAAGUAGUUGCAAUAUCUUUAAAAAUUUGACGGUACACAUGCUUUUAAAUAAGAUCUCAUCUCUAAGUUAGAGUAAACUGUCAAGACUUAAAACUUACUUACUUUACCUUCACCAUGGGACUUGUAACUGUCACUUCUGUCUUGAGUGGUUAAAAGAUAGAACAGUGUAGCCAAGUGCCAUGUCUCUUAUUCUUGAUCAGCUAUAGCUCUGGGAUUUUUGCAGAUUUUCAAAUAAAACUCAGAGAUUCCUUGUAUGAUUCUCUCAGGUCUCUCUUUUGUGGUAUUUUUGGAUCCUUACCAAGGCAUUGAUGGUAUAUACCUUCUCUCAAGAUAUGUGGUAUUUGUGGUAUGAGGCAUAGUGAUAUUGCCUUCUCUCUCACCCUACUCUACUAAGGCUUUAAUAUCUUGAGCUCAUAGGUGGGAGAUAAAGUAUACAUACUUACAAGACAUUUAUUGCAUAGUCAAACCACGGAUCAAAAAUAACAAGUCAAUAAGUUUAAUCAAGAUGUGCAUGUGUGGCGAAUGAAUGGUAUAUGGUGAUGAUGGUGAUAACAAUGGUGAAAACAAUGGUGGUGGAAGUCUAAUUCUACUUUUGCUCUUUUGAGGGGAUACAUACCUUCCUUGCUUUUGAAACUUUAUGAUGAGAAUGAGAUGCUCUUCUUUUUCUUGUCUCUCAGGUGGGUAUCUUGCACCCCUAAUUCUACUGUCGGACACUUGUCCAUUUUUACCUCUCGUCUCACUUUUUUUUCUUUUUGAGGUUCUGAGCACUUGCUCCUUUUUAUUUCCUCGUAUUAUUCCUUUUCUCUCUUUUUUUUAGAGCACUCAUCUCUUGAGAUAAUAUAGCAAGUGGUAGUAACAAGAUAACUUGAGCAUUUAUUUCACAAGGGGAAAACAGAAAUAUUUUUGGUUAUUCUCUCCCGGAUUAGGAGUAGAAUAUUUUUAGGUGGUUCUGGAGAUGGAAUGGGUGGAUAUAUGUGGAUGGUACUUCCGGAGUAGAAGUAGCAUAUAUGAGUGAACGUGCAAGUGAAAUCUUGAUUUAACCACAUGACAAGCUCCUAAGGGUCUACACAGCUUGACCACACUCAAUGCUCAUAAGCAGUAAAUAGUAAAUGUGUGGCUCAAAGUCUAGCAAGCAUGUAUAUAUGGCUGUGGUAGGAAUUUAAACUCUCAUCAUACAGGAACUCAUCAUGCAACAUUUUAAAGAUUUUCAAGAUAAAAUUCUCCAGAAUUCUAGCAUCUCUAGGAACAGAUAAACAGCAGCUCAGCCUUCCCAUAUCUUAUCCGUUAACAACUUAGACUUUUUCAUCCCACAAGUUUAGGUCUAGAGCAAGCUUUAAAUUAUAACUGUUAUAUCUAAACUUGAGAGAGAACUUAAAAUUUGCAAAUUAGGCAG
rnacentral:lncRNA from 1 species